rnacentral:rRNA from 1 species
GUGAUAACGAGUCUGCUUGCAGACGAAGUGAGUGAUACCCUGCUUCCAGGAAAAGCCACUAAGCUUCAGCUAUUGACGACCGUACCGCAAACCGACACUGGUGCGCGAGAUGAGUAUUCUAAGGCGCUUGAGAGAACUCAGGAGAAGGAACUCGGCAAAUUGACACCGUAACUUCGGGAGAAGGUGUACCCCAAGUAAGUGAAGUUGUACAAAUGGAGCUCAAAGGGGUUGCAAAAAAUUGGUGGCUGCGACUGUUUAAUAAAAACACAGCACUCUGCAAACACGAAAGUGGACGUAUAGGGUGUGACGCCUGCCCGGUGCUGGAAGAUUAAAUGAUGGGGUGCAAGCUCUUGAUUGAAGUCCCAGUAAACGGCGGCCGUAACUAUAACGGUCCUAAGGUAGCGAAAUUCCUUGUCGGGUAAGUUCCGACCUGCACGAAUGGCGUAACGAUGGCCACACUGUCUCCUCCUGAGACUCAGCGAAGUUGAAAUGUUUGUGAUGAUGCAAUCUCCCCGCGGAAAGACGGAAAGACCCCAUGAACCUUUACUGUAGCUUUGUAUUGGACUUUGAACGGAUCUGUGUAGGAUAGGUGGGAGGCUUUGAAGUGCGGUCGCUAGAUCGCAUGGAGCCAACGUUGAAAUACCACCCUGGUGCGUUUGAGGUUCUAACCUGGAUCCAUUAUCUGGAUCGGGGACAGUGCAUGGUAGGCAGUUUGACUGGGGCGGUCUCCUCCCAAAGCGUAACGGAGGAGUUCGAAGGUACGCUAGUUACGGUCGGACAUCGUGACGAUAGUGCAAUGGCAUAAGCGUGCUUAACUGCGAGACUGACAAGUCGAGCAGAUGCGAAAGCAGGACAUAGUGAUCCGGUGGUUCUGUAUGGAAGGGCCAUCGCUCAACGGAUAAAAGGUACUCUGGGGAUAACAGGCUGAUACCGCCCAAGAGUUCAUAUCGACGGCGGUGUUUGGCACCUCGAUGUCGGCUCAUCUCAUCCUGGGGCUGUAGUCGGUCCCAAGGGUAUGGCUGUUCGCCAUUUAAAGAGGUACGUGAGCUGGGUUUAAAACGUCGUGAGACAGUUUGGUCCCUAUCUUCCGUGGGCGCUGCAGAUUUGAGGAAGCCUGCUCCUAGUACGAGAGGACCGGAGUGGACACACCUCUGGUGUACCUGUUGUCACGCCAGUGGCAUCGCAGGGUAGCUAAGUGUGGAAGAGAUAACCGCUGAAAGCAUCUAAGCGGGAAACUCGUUUCAAGAUGAGAUCUGCCGGGGCCUUGAGCCCCCUGAAGGGUCGUUGUAGACCACGACGUUGAUAGGCUGGGUGUGGAAGCGCAGUAAUGCGUUAAGCUAACCAGUACUAAUUGCCCGUGCGGCUUGACC